GAACUGCGCCGGGGGGGCAGGUUUGAGUGUGGCACCGAGGCAGCCGCGCUGUGACGGGGGGCAGGUUUGAGUGUGGCACCGAGGCAGCCGCGCUGUGACGGGGGACAGGUUUGAGUGUGGCACCGAGGCAGCCGCGCUGUGACGGGGGACAGGUUUGAGUGUGGCACCGAGGCACUGCCCCUGCCCGACCCCCCCAGCAUGGCGGCCCUAACAUGGCGGUCGCGGGCGCAGCCCCUUCAAGGGCGGCUCUGUGUGGGGCGCGUUGUCUCUCCACGAGUUCCUGCUCGGUACUCGAAUUUCAGCAGGCACGUGUGAGGUGCUGGAUUUGUCCCUUUCCCCUCUGCAUCGCCUGUUUGAUUGCAAGUCCAAGGCAGACACAGCUGUCACGUUGUGUCCAUCCUGGGCUUCCAGCAGCCCUAGAGAGGUGCGGGGUCAAGGCUAAAACCAUCCAAAGAUACUGAGGAGGUGGCUCUGCUUGUGGUUGUUUUUACAAGCAGCUUUAUUUUAUUCACUUCCUUUCCAUAAAGAGAACAUAUCCAUUAUGGGAAAAGAAUUCUGUUGUCAAGUGAAUUGCUGGCAGGAGGCAGACGUGCCUGGAUGGAAG